rnacentral:lncRNA from 1 species
UUUAUGAAAUGCUGAUGAAAUUGGCAAUACAUCUCGACAAAGAAUAGCGUGACCUGCUUCUAUCUAACUUCGAAAGGAAAGGCGAGUCGUUCCGACAUCGUCGCCGAAGUGCUUGACUUGUCGAAGCAUUAUUUUCAUCAAUCAAUUGCUACUCUGCUGCAGCGGUGCAAUGAACAUACGAGAUUCCACUGAGUUGCAUCGCUGAACGUCUUUUAGAGUCUAGACGCCUUGGAGUCCUGGAGCUAUGUGACCUCCACAAGUUCAUGCGAAAUUCAACCCCAUCGUUCCGUUGGAUUUUCGAAAUUCGACAGUUAUGGACGGUUUGCUGAGGCCUUGCAGUUGAAUCCCUCAUUUUAACACAUAUCCGACUUUCUCUAGGCCCUGAACAUCACGAAGCUUCGAACAUCCCAAGAUCUCCAAAUAGGUCAGGUUAUUAAAGCACGAGAGGUCUGGUAAUGUUUCAAUGGAUGUGCAGCUCUGGAUAAUCAGGAAUUCCAAUGUUUUCAACCUCUCAAGGCCUUUAAUUUCAACUAUAUUGUGGCAAUGAUAAGCGUCUAAUCGCUUCAGAUGUGUCAAUUGUGAAAGAUCUGGUCUUAUAAGGUUUUCACAACCACUUACAUCCAGCUCUUCCAAGUUUUUCAAUCUAUCAAGGCCUCGAACUAGAUCAUCAUUCACUAAGGAAGAACUCAUAUUCAAGUAUCUCAAGGACUCUGCAUCUUCAAGGCCGUCGAAUUUGGAUAAGUUCUUGCUUCCAAGAACACUCAGAUGUACUAAGAAUUUUAAUGCUUCUAGACCAUUGAUUUCUGUCAGCUCUCGGCAGUUUUUGAUAUUUAACUGUGACAGCAAUUUCGGACUAGACAAAUUUGGCAACUCUUUCAACUUAUUACAGCCGUGGACAAAAAGCUUCGAUAUUGCUGAGGGAAGCUCAGGCAUGGAUUCUAACAAUUUGCAAUCGUAAACAGUAAGCUCUUUUAGAUGGAUUAGGUGAGAAAGUUGAGGCAAUGCGUGAUGUUGACAAGUGACUUCUAGAACUGUUAAACCACCGGGAAGUUUUGGUAAUGACUGAAGUUCAUAACAACCAAUCAACUGAAGGUGUUGCAGAUAAGGCAUCUUACUCAUGCUUUUCGGUAGAGAUUGAAGCAUCUUGCAUCCGCAUAAGUCUAGUUUUUCAAGGCAAGAAAGCUUAUCGAAUGUGUCAGGGAAGCCAGAAACGUUCGUCCCACUUAAUACAAGAAUCUUCAGUGAAGACAAUCCAUUUAUAGGAAUUUCCCCUCCUAGACUCCUGCAAUGCGAGGCAUGCAAUUCUUCAAGGUUGCCCAACUUUCCUAUUGUACUCGGUAAAUUAUUCAAUUUACUUGUAAUAUCCAAAAUUUUCAAGUUUUUCAAAUCUCCAAUGGAUUCAGGUAAUUCUCGAAUGUCCUUACAUGUCAAUUCCUUUAUAUUCAUCCGAUUCAAUUUCCUAAUUGAAUAAGGGAAGUGAUUUCUCGAAAUGUCAAUUAGGGUAACCCAAGGAGGUGUAUCCUCCUCCUUGCCUAAUGAUAGGUGUCGCAAUUUCACAAGGGAUCCAAUGCUCUCUGGAAGUCCAACUAAUGAUUUGCAACCACGGGCGUGAAGUAUCUCCAACUUCUUCAAAGAACCUAUAUCGGGAGGAAUUUCCUCCGUAGCAGUAUUGUCUAUGUUUAGUUCCUUCAGUUCUUCCAAUUUGCCUAUUUCUUUGGGUAGCACUCGGAGUUUCUUACAUCCCGAAAUGUCCAAAGAAAUGAGGCUCUUCAAAGAGCCUAUCCAUGGAGGAAUUUCCUCUAUAGCAGUCUUGCUUAUGUUUAGUUCCUCAAGUUUUUCCAAUUUGCCCAUUUCUCUAGGCAGCACUUGGAGAUUAUGACAUUUCGAUAAGUCCAAAGAAACAAGGCCCCUGACUUCUCCAAUAGAAUGGUGAAUUUGCUCCAGAUCAAUACAUCCUUCAAGGACUAAUAUCUCUAAAUUUUUUAAGGUGGAGAGAUCAGGACUAACCUUUAAGCGAUUAGAAUGUCGGAGAUUUAGAACUUUCAACUCCUUCGCCACCUACAAAUAAAAUGACUAAUGAAUUUUUUUUAUAAGAGUAAGCCAUUAGAAACAAAAGACAACAUGCUCUCCUCUGACCUUGAGAUGACUCCAACCUUCUGAAAGCUCUAAAUUCCAUGAUAAAUCAAGUAUGACUAAUUUCUCUAGACUAAAACUAGCAGCCCAGGAUGCAUUCCACUUGCGGCACUCAAGCCAUCGCAACUUAGGAAGCAAGCUUUUGGAAUCUCCAAUUAGUAUAGAAAAUAAAGGCACUUGAAGGAACCUUAAGUUCGGUAGCGUCUCCAAUUGGUUAGUUGUGAAUUCAUCGAGUAAGCUUACUCCGUCAAGACGAAGGGCCUGAACGUGAAGUUUUUCAAUUCCCUGCACAAAUGUUGCACCAAAUCAGCUAACAGUGGAUUGAUAUCAUUUUGCCUUCGUUCUAUAGGGGCGAAGUUGGCACUUAGAUCAGACCAAAUUAUAUCAUGUGGCUAGGUAUUAUUUUCUUUUUUGCCCUUAAUGAAUGAUAUCAUGUAAUCUUUCCCUAUGAAUUUACUGCAAAACACAUUAAAUAUUAAUCUUAAUGUCUUCCCUUCUUUGGUUUGUGCUAUCUCUCCCUUUUUCUUCUCUUAUGUGAUUAGAGACUUAGUGCAAUGUGUCAUUUCGGGGAAUAAGCACGAUGGCUCGACUAACGACUUAGAAUUAAUUGAUACUAACACACACCGAGUGCACAAGUAACCACUAAUGAGCUAGGAGUUUAAUGUCUAAGCCCAAAACUUUUCUUUCCUUAACUUGAUACGAAAUGUUUACCACGUAUAGAUGCUAAGCAAAUUUCAUCCUAACCACAUCAAGGAAAUAAUAUAAGGAGAAUAAUCUCAGUGGUGAGGUCUAAAAUUGAUUCCAAUUAGAGGAAUUCGUGUAAAAAAGAGAGUAGUGCAACAAUAGAGGAAACAAGUACCUUAUUUCUCUGAAGUACUUCCAAGGCUUCCUCAUGGAACCACACCCUACUUCGGUUCAUAGGCACAAUGUAAUCUUCUUGACGAACAAUUUCCCUACCAAGGUCUCUCAAUUGGUCAUGCAUUUUCAGCUCACGGUUAUCUCCAAUUUUUAUUAGCGACAUAAGCCUCAGUAUUUCAAUCCCCAUUUUUGGAGAAAAACCACAGGCAUCCCACAUGUAGGAUGCAAUUCUUAAAUCAGUUCCAAUAAAGAAACAAGCAAUAUCCAAAAAUAUUUGUUGUUCCUCAUAGUCCAGUGCGUCAUAACUUAUCUUCAGCUUCUUACGCACUUCUUUAUGUGGUACUUUAUUUAACUUUUUCAAUGUGUCUCGCCAUAACGAUUUGUUUUUCCCACACAAAAAUGAGCCUAUAACCUCGAGAGAUAAAGGAAGCCCUCCGGUAGUGGAUACGAUAUCAUGAGACAAAGAUUCGAAUUCAUGUGGAGGAGAGACCCUCCUAAAAGCAUGUCUACUAAACAAGAUCAAAGACUGAUCCUUAGCCAUUCCAUUGAGUUCGUGGCAGUUCACAUUAGCAUCAUCGAGAAUAGACUUUCUUCUUGUGGUAAUGAUCAUUCUACUUCCCCUCUCAAACCAAUCACCUUUCCCAAUUAAAGCUUUUAGUUGAUCAUGGUUAUCCACAUCAUCUAAAAGAAGUAGGACUUUCUUAUGUUUAAAUCUGGAUUCCAUAAUCCUAAUUCCUUCAUCCUCAUUCGACACUCUAUCCUCUCUUCCUAGUAUAUCCCUUAUUAAUUGCUCUUGCAAACAUGAAAUGCCCUUGUGUUGUGAGGAUUCUCGAAUAUCUGUAAUGAAACUACGAUGCUGAAAUUGGUCGGAGAGCUUAUUGUAAACGACCUUGGCUAAAGUUGUCUUACCAAUACCCCCCAUUCCAUGGAUGCCGACAAUUUGGGUAGAAUGGUGGUUAUCAUCCAGCAAUCUUAGAAUAUUUGCCACAGUAUCAUCAAUUCCGACAAGUUGUUCGGUAACAACCAGUUGAAAGGCCUCUUUUAACUUGCUCAAAACUGUUCUGACGACCAUUCUCACCAAUUCUCCUUCACGGCUGUUUAUAAGAUUCGAGCUAAAAUGAAUUAGAAGAACAAUCAUAUCCUGUUGUAUCUUAUUAUUACCACACUACAGCUUACAAGAGCUAAAAAAGCAAGCACAAGUUGUGAAACACGAGAUAGAAUAGCUUUCUCUACAAGCAAGAUCCAGUUGAAAGAAAUUAAAUAAGGUUUGUAUAGAAAUUGAAAUACCCGUUAGCAAUUUUCUCUGAUUCCCAUCCCUUCAAGGAAGCCACUUCUUGGAGCGCUUCUUUCCAUUUGGCAACGUCUUCCCUAGAAUACUUCCCUCUUAAAUGGGAGAAAGCCUCUCGAAAGCUCCCUUUCUGAUGUCGUACAUCAGCCGGUUCAACCCGGUAAAAUAUGGGCAAGACAACUUGCCCGGCGUUCUUCAUGCACUCAAUCAUUUGAACGAGCUCUUGAAGGCACGCUUUGCUCCAAGCAUAGUUUUGAGACAGAACUGGGAUGGAGAUCUUACUAUUCUUAAUGGCUGUGAGAAGGUUGGUGCUGAUCUCCUCACCUUCACAAAGCUCAUCGUCGUCUUUGAACACGCAAAUUCCAGCAUCGAUGAGGUUGUUGUAGAGGUGAUCCACGAAGGUGUUGCGAGUAUCUGUACCUCUGAAACUCAAGAACAUGUCGUAGCCGUUACUUCCUUUUGGAGCGGCGGACAAGCUAGCCGCAGCAAUAUCAUCUGCUUUUCGACCUUUGCUAUCCUUGUUGCUCUGGACAAAUUUGGAUGCGGACGAGCUAGGCGCAGCGGUAUCAUUUGCUUUUCGACCUUUGCUAUCUUCGUCGCUCUGGGCAAAUUUGGAUGCGAGACGAGGGAAGAGACGUUUCAUUUUUUGCUCUUCCAACAACUCUUGAACCGAGUCUCUCUGCUUAUAUGAAAGAUUAAAAUGCCUAAUUUCGGGCUCUGCGCAAGAAGGUGACCAUGCGGAGCUGAGUUUUUGACAAUUUCUACUUCAAGAUACACAUGGAUCAAGAGGGGAAAAAGAAGAAGACGAAUUAAUGAAGAAUGACCGAGAGCUAGUCGUCGGGAGAAGAGGCUCGACUGGGGAAGUGGGCAUCCUUCGUCCCAGAAAUCAGAGUGGGGAAGGACGGAGCCUCCUGCUCCACCUCAGACUCCAGCGACGCUUGGCCAACCUCAUCAAAUUGCUCUACUCGAGGAAUCUCAAGUUGUUCGUCGCUUAUCAUUAAGCUCGUUCGAUGAGAAGGGGAAGCACUGUUCUCCCGAAGAGAUGCCUUUUUCCAUGUUCUUAUCAGCCAAUGGGUGUUCACCUCGUAUAAGCCCACGAAUCUUUCAUUGAACGGAAUUAUACGGUUGUCAUUUAUAAACUGUGCAUGUUUAUCAUCUAAUAUGUUGCUUGUUCCGCUUCAGUCGCAACUUCAGCCAAAGCUAAGAACUCUUGUUCACUCUAUCAUUUGAUUGGAUUCAAAUCCUCCCUUCUCACAUCAUAGCUUCUAAUCACGCUUGACUUGACGAAGAGCAUCUGCCUUGUUUCUUAGGCCUUAAUAACGUAAAAAAUUAUGGAUUAAUUUUAAUUCUUUGUAAAAAUAAUUUUCUGUAAAUUGCAUCAAAUAUAGACAUUAAGAUUAGCAUUACUAGCGUUAAAUAUUAAAAAUAUUUUAAAAAAAUUAAUUAGUUUAAAAAAUUCAAAAAAAAAUUAUUUAAAAAGUUAAAAUUAAAAUUAAUUAAAAAUAUGAUUAUUUAUUAAAAAAUCAAAUAGGGCCCGGUCAGGGCUGGGCCUACCCGGGCCUCCUUCUUUGUGCCCCGCUCUUUUCCCCCCGCACAAGGCGGGCCCACUCUUCCCUAGCCCGGCCCGCUCAUCUCUUCCUUCUUCCUCCUCCUUCGCGGCUCAACUUGAGGCUGUCCAGCAGAAAAACCAGAGCUAAGUCUCCUCUGUUUUUCUCUGGCUUUUGAUUCUGGCUCAAUCUAUAGUGCUGAACUCUCGGUUUCGUUCUCGUGUUCUCCGAAAUUCCGUUUUCCAUUCUGGAGUUCAUCUUCACGGACGUGUUCGUACCCUCCUCCGACCGAACUGAAGAUUAUGGCAAUGGAUUAAAGCCAAGUGAUUCGCGUCCUUCCUCUGGUUUCAAUCAGCACAGAUUCCGCAUUGAUUUUACGUGUGUUUCUUGUAGAACAACAGCUCCAUCACCAAUGAACGUCAGACAAAUCUGAAGGUUAGUCAAACUUGCUUAAACUUCAUCAAACAUGCUCGAUUGUUGCUGAGGUUUUUUCGAUUUGUACUUAGUGUGAUCAAGAUUUGUGUUAAACCUUGCCGAUAUUCGAAGAUUCUCACCUUUGAAGUUAGCCAACAAUCUCCUUGAAAGAACAGAUAAACAAUUUCCGGAGAGUACAGAUGUCUUGACAUCUACAUCAUUGAUGGUUUUGAACACCAUCGAGAAUCAUUUUUUUCAUGCAUCCAGAAGAAAAUGCUUACUUCCACACAGAAUUUUCAUUCUGAGAAAGCUUCGCAAAUCUUCUGCGUUGUCCUUCUUCUUUGGCUAGGCAAGGGAAUGGAAAAAGCAGAAAAGGCAAGACCUCUGGUGGUAAGGAUGGGCCACCCCCGAAGCCAAAUCUUGAUUGAUUCUAGUUUUAUUGCAUGUAAAUUCAAUCAGCGCUUCUGCAAGGCGAUGACUCUAGCAAUGAGAUGUGUCAGAGAUAAGGGAAAUUUACCUGAGAGCACCCAUAAUUCGGUAUUAAGUUCCUGCAUAAUAGAGAAGCCGCAAGAAUAGCAAUUCUCAAAUGAUGCAGCAUACUCCAGUCUCUUGUCUCGUCCCAUCGUCUUCAAAACAAGUUUCAAGAUAAAGAGAAUCAGAUCAAAUCUAUAUCUUUUUUGUUUCCACAUGUUAACAAUGUACUUACUCGCAUGGUUCUAGCAAAAAAAAAAAAAAAAAGUACUUACUCGCAUGAUACCACUGCAACCUGGUAAAUCCUGGAGAAAAACAGCCAUGCUCAUUAGAAAAAGGCAAAACAUUAGUUGCAGACUCUGCUAAAACACUGGAUGCAGGUCUGCAGACAAAAUGUUCAGCAAUGGAUUAAGAAUAGUAGGAACAUGCAAGCAUUACUUUGAAGAAAUUGCUCAGUUUCUUGGGGUCAUUUUAUACAAGAUUUUGGCUGAUUUUGGUUUGGUUUGAAGAAUAGCUUACCCCUGUGAGUCUGUAAAACAAGAAAAAAUGACUGAGAGAUGAUACCUAUUAGUCUCUGUUUUUGUACUGACCAAAUAAUGACCAGCUGCAGGAUAUGGCUGCAGCCUCACUUGUAGGACAUUAUGGGACAGAAACGUGGAUAUUUAUCAACCACUCAUCAGUUAAAUACCUCGCUAAGUGCAAUUAGAGUCAUAACGCAAGCAAUGAAAGUGUGACCUGCUUUUAUCUAACUACGGAACUAAUAAAAAGACAAAAGUACAACAGCAGGCUCUCAAGAAAAAUCGUCUUACCAAAAUUACGAAAUGCUGAUGAAUUCGGCAAUACAUCUCGACAAAGAAUAGCGUGACCUGCUUUUAUCUAACUACGGAAGAAAACGCGAAUCCUUCUGACAUCAUAGCCGAAGUGCUCGAUUCAUCGAAGCAUUAUUUUCAUCGACCAAUUGCUUCUCUACCGCAGAGGUGCGAUGAACAUCCGCGAUUCCACUAAGUUGCAUCGCUGAAUGUCUUUUAGAGUCUAGACGCCUUGGAGUCUUGGAGCUCUGUGAUCUCCACAAGUUCAUGCGAAAUUCAACCCCGUCGUUCCAUUAGAUCUUCGAAAUUUGACAGAUGUGGACAAUUUGCUGAGGCCUUGCAGUUGAAUCCCUCAUUCGAACACACGUCCGACUUUCUCUAUGCCCUGAACACCACGAAGCUUCGAACAUCGCCCGAUGCCCAAAAAUUUCAGGUUAUUGAAGCGCGAGAGGUCUGGUAAUGUUUCAAUGGAUGUGC